GAGAAAAGGGAGUCGUGGAUGGAGACUUGUCCUACAUGGCCGAGCGAGAUCGAGGCUAGCCGCCGGUAAUGUUCUUCUCCCGUGCAAGUUCCGCACUGCAUUGAAGCAUCCAACACAUGAUGUAGCUACGUUACAGGUGGGACAUCAGCCAAGUAUGUUUCGAGGUGAGACAUCCAUCAAGUUUGUUUGGAGAAAUUGUGCAGUCCAG